ACGGCUCUGCUUUUCCUGAAGCCCUGCGUUCCACGCGGAGUAUUGAUGUAGGAAAAGCGGGGCAAU
rnacentral:sRNA from 12 species